rnacentral:rRNA from 1 species
UACGGAGGGUGCAAACGUUGCUCGGAAUCAUUGGGCGUAAAGCGCACGUAGGCGGUCCGCUAUGUCGGGUGUGAAAGCCCUCGGCUCAACUGGGGAGGGUCACUCGAUACUGAUCGACUUGAAGGCAGGAGAGGGAAGCGGAAUUCCCGGUGUAGUGGUGAAAUGCGUGGAUAUCGGGAGGAACACCAGUGGCGAAGGCGGCUUCCUGGCCUGUUCUUGACGCUGAGGCGCGAAAGCUAGGGGAGCAAACGGG